UCCUCCUCCUCCUCCUCUCCUUUUUUUAUGAGAGAGAGAGGUGGGGGGGGGGUGGCGGUACAGAGAGAGAGGGAGACAGAAUCGGAAGCAGGCUCCAGGCUCUGAGCUGUCAGCACAGAGCCUGACGCACGGCUCGAACUCACAAACAGCAAGAUCAUGAUCUGAGCCAAAGUCGCACGCUUAAACAACGGAGCCACCCGGGCGCCCCAUGAUCUGAUAUAUUUUUUAAAAGAAUUGUCUCAAAACAGAGAAUGGGUUGUAAAGGUUGUAAAUGUGUAUGGAGUCGGGUAAGAGUUGAAGCAAGCGGAUAUGUGAGUAGGCUCUUGAAGUUGUUGAGGUGGGAGACAAAGGUGGCAUUGACCAGGAACUUUCUUCGAAGUUCAUUUUAAAUCAGCACUGUCAGAGCACUUCAGCCUUCCCUAAUCUUCUCUUGUUCCAACUUCCAGACUACUUGUACUCUAAAGAUACAGUGUAAUAUUUAAUUUUACUAAUCCUGUUUCCUUCCCCAGGCUGCAUUCUCCAAGAGCAGUGAUUUAUAUUUCCUCGUGCUCAGUGAAGUGUGGACAUAAUUGAUGCCCGUUAAAAAAUUAUGUUCUUAUUACAGAAUUUUAGACACCACUUUCUUGAAUUUUCCAAAGUAAAGGAGCAUCAACUAGAUGAUGCAGAAGAAUCACUUGAAAACUUACUUAAGUAUAAAUGAUUGACCUAUGACUCAAAUUAUACAAAAGAGAGAAAAAAAGAAAAGGAAAGCCAGCAAGCACUUUAUAAGUUAGUCGAGUAGGACUUGAGGUUAAGAAUUAAGAAGCAAAGUUGAAAUUUAAAACCUAAAAGUAACAUUAAUUGCCAGGAUAGAGACAUUAUAGAAGUACAUUUUGAAAUAACAUCAGUGGCCAUAUUAGUUUUUCAAGUCGCACCCACAGAUAUAAGUAACAAUUUUUGAUCUUCUUGAAGUGCAAAUGUUUUUACCACCCCCCUCCUCCAGAGUAUACAUGAUUUUUCUCUAACAUCUGCAUAUAGCUUGUAAUGUAAAACCAUAAAGUAAGAGAAAAAAGUUUCUCAAUCAAAUGGUUAGAAUACGUAUUACAAUUACUUGUAAUAUUUUGUACUUUGUUAAUAAUAGGUGUCAUUUAAUGGAAAGUUUUAAGUUGUAUAUUUUAAAAUGUUUACAGCAAAUUACGUGACCAGUCUCAAAGUAACCCUAAAUAGACAGUGUGAAUUAGGAUGUGUUCUUUCCAUGUCUCCCCCACCCAGCACAAGCACAUACACACGAACUGGGUUUUGCCAAGAGAUUAUUCUAAGGAUAUGUUUUAAAUGUUUAAAAAAAAAAAACAAAAACAAAAAAAAAACAACUAAGGCUUUUAAGACAGAAAUGGUUUUUUUUUUUUUUUUUUUUUGUUUUUUUUUUUUUUAGACAAUAGUUGUUUAAUGAGCUGCUCGUAUAUACAAGAGAAGAGAAUGGGCCUGAUUGCUCAAUCUGAUGUUUGAAAAAGUAUUUUUCCGGAUCUUAUACAUUUGCAUAUCUAAUUGCCAUGUAAUCAAAACUAAGUGAACUGUAGCUGCUUGAAACUCUGAAAUGAAAAGCAAUCAUCUGUACGGGGAGGAGGGGGAACCCCCUUCCAUGCAAGCUAGCCUGAAUAUUAGCAUUAUAGUCUUCUUGUGUUUAAUUAUAGGUGUUUGACUGAGCAGUAAAUGUCUGCUUGUGUAAUAGAGAAGUGAAUGUGACCCUGAAACACCCGCUAUGCUUUUUGGUAACAGAGCAUUGGCUUUGAGAGAAGUUAGCCUCCAUUGUGUAUUUUGACGAUAAGGGAUUGUGCCAUAAUGGCUGUUAAUUACCUGCUUUGUCUGAUAUGGAAAGUAGAGGUUCCACAUUUUUUUCCCUCCCAAUGGCAGCACUCAAUUAAAAUGUGUGUAUUAAGCAGCUACGGUGCCCUUCUCUAUUUGUUGGGAAGACAUGAGGUAAGGAAAAACGGACUUGACUUUUUUUGCAGCUGUUUGAUGGCAGUUUUGUUUUUGGGUACAUCCCUUGAGAAUAGAAAAAUAUUUACCCCAAUACGUGUUCUUUAGACUUCGAUAGACUUGACCAUUGUAUUUUAUUAUUUUUUGCUGCCUCACAUACUAGAUGAAAAAAAAAUGUUUUUAAUGUUUAUUUAUCUUUGAGAGAGAGCAGGAGCUCCAGCUAACGGGGGGAGGGGCAGAGAGAGAGGGAGACCGAAUCUGAAGCAGGUUUCAGCAGCACGGAGCCUUGGGGCUGAAACUCAAGUCACAGGACUUGGGGCUCAAACUCCUGGACCCUGAGAUCAUGACUUGAGCUGAAGUCGGACGCUCAACUGACUGAGCCACCCAGGCGCCCUGACACAUACUGUAUUCUUAAUAUUCUCAAAUGUCAUGCGGAAGGUUUGUAGCUACUGGCUACCAGAGAAUUUCACACUACUUAAAAGCCCCUUUCAUAUUUUAACUGCUUUCAGCUUUUUUUUUUGUAAAGUUUUCCUUAUUGUCAAAUAAAAUUACGCCUUAGUGUGGAAUCAGUUUACCUUCCUAUAGCUUGGGUCUUGAACCUGGGUAAUUUGAAUAGUUAACAGCCACUGAGGUCUGCUGUCGGGAGAGUUCAGGUAAUAUAUGUAAAGGAUGUGAAAAGUGUCUCUCCAUCCUGUGUGCUGUUCGGUGCUCUUCUGCUCGGUGCCAGUUCUUUUAGUGUUGUUUGCCCCUGAAAUGUUUUCCUUUAAAUAAAAGUUUUUAUGAAUAUAUUGUGGUAAAUUGCCAAUAUGCAUGUUCUUCUGUGCUCUGCCUGCUGUCACGCGCUCAGCCAGUGAAUGUUCGUGUAGUGGCUCACGUCUGUCUCAGCACGAUGCGUCAUACUGCAGCGCGGUCAGCACUUGAGUGCUCUGUGUUGUGUGUGGUUUACGCUGACCUCUCUGCCAUUUGCUUUUUGUCCUUGAAAUUGACUUUGACCUCCAGUGGCCCAUGAAGGGUGUGCAAAGCACAGUUAUGGACAGUCUCCUGAAUGAGAAAAUAAGACAUUUAAUGAGGGUUCUGGGUAUUUUCAGGAUAAACAACUAACAGAGGCUAAGGGUCAGCAAGAAUAAGUAUGUGACCUAGGAAAAUUGGCCAAGGAUAGCUGGAAGAAAGGAUUUGGAAAAUCCUGAAUUAUUAAUAUCAGUCAAAAUGGAAGAGGAAAUACAUUGUCUGUGUUUUAAUAUAUAUGGUGUAUAAAUUAAACCCAAAAGCAAUGAAUGUACUGUGCUAGCAUAGCCGUAUAGAAUUUAGGCGUCAGAGAAGACUCUGUGUGUGUGUGUAUGUGUGUGUGUGUGUGUGUGUGUGUGUGUGUGUGUGUUGUGUACAUAUGUGUAUGUGUAAGUAUAUGUUUACUGUGUGUAUAUAUAUGUGUAUAUAUAAUUUGAGCAUCUAAACUCCUAAAAUUUUGAAGAAAAUAAUUUUUAGUCAUUCCCGACAUUUUAUUUAUAUUAUUACUGUUCAGGUGUUGAAGGAGGGUAGAGAUUAUUGGUAUAUAUACAGUUUCUUCCUUUUUACUUUGGAAAUGCACAGUGGGUUAAAUAGGGGUUAUUUGACAGAAUACUAUUCUUUAUGAAUUUUUGGAGGCAGUGGAGCUUACACAUAAAUCUAAAGUUGGUUUUCGAUAAUUUAAACUGAGAGAGCAGGGUCAGCCUGGGACCAGUGUUAUGAUAAACGAUUCAGGGUGUGACCCUACAAAAUAUUAAGCACUUGAUGAAACUGUAACUAGGAUUUCUUUAAAAAUUCCUGAAAGUUUUACCUUCUUAGAAUUUUUGUGCUUAAAAGGACUCCACUGUAUUUUGAAUCUAAUAGAAAAAUAAUUGUUAUUCUGUUUAGGGUAAACUUGAAAUUUAUAUUGUUGUCAUUAUCAUUUUAAAUGUAACUUUCAUACAUGAGUUUACUAACUUUCCCUUUCCUUUUAAAAAGCUUAAUAGUUCUGAAUCCAGACACUUACUCUAAAGCUUCAUUUGAAAAACAUGGCUGAUUUCUUUUGACCCUCUGAAAAUUCCUUUCCCAAGUUAUUUGAGAAAAUUUUUGCGUUUUAAUAAACUUCAUUAAUUGAGAUAAAGUGAUCAGAGAGAUGUCACUUUUUCUUGGGAAGUUUUCCCAACUUAAAUUUUUUUUUUUUUUUUUAACAUUUAUUUAUUUUUGAGAGAGAGACAGCGUGAGCAGGGGAGGGGCAGAGAGAGAGGGAGACACAGAAUCCGAAGCAGGCUCCAGGGUCCGAGCUGUCAGUGCAGAGCCCGAUGCGGGGCUCGAACUCACAAACCAGGAGAUAGUGACCUGAGCCGAAGUCAGACGCUUAACUGACUGAGCCACCCAGGCUCCCCAGGAAGUUUUCCCGACUUAAUUGACAUUUUGUUGUGGUGUAAUUAGUGUUUUGAAGUGUUAUUUUAUUUAAAAAAGUAAUUAGGGACUCAGUUGGUAAAAUGUGAGUAAUUGAGAGUUGUAUGAUUAAAAAAUAUGCCUAAAUUAUGUGAAGGACAUCCACAGCCGCAGGAAAUUUCAUUGUACAAAUGAGGAAGAGUAACCUUUUAGGUCACAUUAUUUGUGAUCUCUUCAGUGUUUCCAAGUCCCUAGUCUGUGUUUUGGAUCCUGUUUGAAUUUUUAAAAAUCCUUUUCUAAGUUUUCAACAAUAUAUUCAGACAAAGUUAGCUGUUUUGUACUCCAUCGAUCCCAUACUAAUGCAUAUCUCCAUUCAAGCACUUAAUAUAUUUUUUGUGGUUGAUUACAGAGUGUUUCUCAGAGUGAGAACUUUGUCCUAAUCAGCCCUGGAACAUACACAGGGCUUGGCACAGGAAUCCUUAAUUAGUGUUUCCCUUAGAAUCUUGUAUUCGAGUUAUUAACUGAACUCAUCUCUACUGUUGAAUUAAUUUUCUAUUUUCAUAUAUAUUUUUAGUUCUUUCAGUAUUAUAAGAUUUAUUUUGUUUUCUUUUUUUUAUGUCUAUUUUUUUUAUUUUGUGGGGGGAGAGAGAGCGAGAAAACGCCUGUGAGCAGGGGAGGGGCAGAGAGAGAGGGAGACACAGAAUCCAAAUCAGGUUCCAGGCUCUGAGCUGUCAGCACAGAGCCCGAUGCGGGGCUCGAACCCAGAAACUGUGACAUCAUGACCUGAACCGAAGUCAGAUGCUUAACCAAAUGAGCCACCCAGGCACCCUUUGUGUUAGAAGAUUUAUAUUGUCCGAUAGCUGUGUUUGUUAAUGUGUAUGUGUUUUUUCCUCCUGUCAAUCAGAAACACAUAACUGUACGCAGGGACUAAAAUGGAAAACUCACUCCAUUCUGCGAUAAUUAUGGGCUACAUGGACAGGAGAUGGACUCUGAGCAUGAGUAACGGGAAUUGGAGCCAGUUUCACAGAAGUACUGGGUUUUGGGGUGCGCUGUGCCACUUGUGGAUAGAGGCUAAAUUCUAUGACUGUCACCUAGGAAAUGUUUCUAGUGGUAAGAGGAAGGAGAGAGUAUUUAUCUAUAAUCAGGGCCAAGCUGCCUGCUGGUUUGAAUACCGGAUUAUCACUAUCCUUCUGGAAGAAAUAGAACUUUGAAGUAAGGCCUUCUGCUUCCAGUAAUAAAUGAAUAAAUUCCUGUCAAGAUAGAUUCAUGUACAGAGAGCAACUCUAAGAUACAGAUAUAGAUACAGAUAGAUAUAUAAAAUACAAGAUUACCCCUUGUAUUAUACAUGAAUACAUCAAGGCACUGGGGAAGAAUACAAGCAGAGUUUAGAGGAGGGAACCUUAUAUUUUGCCUGGCUUCCCCCCCACUCCAGGGGUCAAGCACAGUAGGUGGCACUAAUUCUAACCUAGAGGAUAUCCCUAUUGUUGAGAAAGGAGAAUCCAGGAAGGAAAAGAGACAGGAGAAGAAAUCCCUACGUUCUUGCUAACCCCUGAAUCACACACAUGUAGAACAGACUUAAAGGAUCUCGGGUGAGGAUCUGAACUGAGACCAGACUCUGCACCCAAGAAACAAAGUUUGCAGUUCUGAAUUGAAUCAGGACAGUUGCUUACUAAAGUGGUAAUAAAUCUUCAAAAGAAAAAAACAAAAGCCAGAAUCAGCAUAUAGUUCAAAAUUAAAACUUGAAGAUUAAUCACAUUCUACAAUCAACUGAUUCGAAUCUCCAGAUGUUGAAAGUAACAAAACACAUAUUUUAAAGUAGCUGUUAUAAUGAUCCUCAUAAGGUAAGACAAAAUACAAAAUGAUCGAAAAUCUUAGCAGAGAACCAGAAACAAUAAAAAAGACCAAAUGGGAAUUCCAGAACUGAAAAUAGAGUAUCUGAAGUAAACCAUUUAUGGGUGGAUGGAUUUAACUGCUGAAGAAGGAGUGUGCAGAUUUGAAGACAGAGCAGUAGAAACUGUCUGUUGUGAAUAACAGGGAGAGGAAAAAAUUGAGGUAAAGGUAAUAACAUGUCAAAUGGUCUACCUAACAUAUCUGUAAUCGGAGUUCUAUAAGGAAGAGCGAGCAAAUGAAAUAAAAAUAAUUGAAGAAAUAAUGGCAGAGGAUCUCAAAAAUUUGUUGAAAGACAUAAACUUGUAGAUGUAAGAUGCUUAUCAUAGAACAAUCAGAAUGAACACAAAGGGGGGGGCACUGUAGCACCUUAGAGCAGGACUGUUGGACACCUUAUAAAGCAGCAAGAGAAAAAUCACACCUUUAACAUACAGAGGAAAAAUACAAUUAAUGGCUGACUUAUUAUCAGGCCAGAAAAGAGUAAAACAUCCUUUAAAUAUCCUAACAGAUGAGUAUUGUCAACCCUGAAUUCUGUAACCAUUGAGAAUGCUGUAACCAUCUUCCAAGUGAAGAGGAAAUAAAGCCAUUGGAAAUGAAAGAUUAGUUCAGAGAAUUUCUUGGCAGCAGAUGUACAGAGUGGAGAAACUAAAGAGGACUUUUUCCAACUUCAGAGAAAUGAAAUGAGAGCACAUAGAAAGUUACUUAGAGAUGAACGCCAGUAAUGAUAAAUUCCUGGGUAGAUAGAAAAUAUUUUUUGAGGGGGAGGACGGGUAUUUUUCCUCUUAGUUUCUUUAAUACGUAUAGCUGUUUAAUGUGGAAGAAAUAGCGUUGUCCUGUGGAGUUUUAAACUUAUGUAUGUGUAAACAUGGACCUAUGUGGUGGUUACGAGUUUCUGCAUUUGUGUGAAGUUGUAAAACGUUAGUCAUAAGUGGACCUUGAAAAGUUAAAGAUUUAUAUUGUAACCCUCAGAGCAGCCACUGAAAACAAUAAUACAAAGAAGUACAGAUAAAAAUGCACUGAGGAAAACUAAAGUGGAAUUGUAAAAAUAUAUUGAAAUAGUGUAUUUUUAAAAGUUGGAAGAGGAAACAGAGGAACAAAAACAGAGGCUACAAAUAGAAAGCCAGUAAUAAAGUUGGUAGCUGCCAGAAAUCUCGUUUUAUCGGGGCUCCUGGGUGGCUCAGUCGGUUGAGCGUCCGACUUCGGCUCAGGUCAUGAUCUCACAGUCUGUGAGUUCGAGCCCAGCCCUCUGAGCUGUAAGCACAGAGCCCGGAGCCUGCUUCAGAUUCUGUGUCUCCCUCUCUCUGCCCCUUUCCCACUCACGCUCUGUCUCUGUCUCUCAAAAAAAGAAUUAACGUUAGAAAAAAAAAUUAAAAAAAAAAAAAAAGAAACCUCGUCUUAUCAAUAAUGGCAUUAAUUUGCCAGUGGAAGAAACACCCCUAUGAAAAGGGAGAGGUUACCAAAAUGGAUUGAAAACACUAAGGCACACUUGUAGACUAUAAAGCAUAUAGCUGUUAUAAACUAUACAGUUUCUCAAGAAGAAAAGUUGUAAAUAAAAGUAGGUUGAAAAUAAAUAGGUGGAAAAAGAGCAAGAAAACAGCACAAGGUUGGAAUGACUAUUAAUAUCAGAUAAAAUAGAUUUCAAGAGAAAGCAAUUCAUAUCAAGUAAAGAGAAUGUUUCAUAAUGAUAAAAAGUCAAUUUAGCAGGAAGUGCGAAAAGUGAUCGUAAAUGUAUAUUCACUUGAUACAGUGUCACUCUACUGUAUGAAACAAGAAUUGCCUAAAGACAAAUAAUUCCAGGAUCAGACUGAAAUUCUAACUUUUUCAGCAGCUGAUAGAAUGAAACUAAAACUCCUCAAAGACUGAGAAGAUCUGAACAUUAUUAUGAGCUGCCUUGACAUUAUUGGGGUUUAUAAAACAUUACACUUGACAACUGAGUGAACAUGGUGCAUUCACCAGUAUAAAAUAUUUCCUAGGCCAUAAAGUGAGAAGCUUGAAAUUAGACCAAGGAUGAGCUGUGACUAAAAUGAAAUUCAGCCCAAAUAUUUGGAAAUUGAACAACACACUUCUGUAUAGUCCAUGGCUUAAGAGAUGUCACAAGAAAAAUUAAAAGGUAUUUUAAACCAAAUAACAAUGAAAAUGGGACAUAAAAUUUGUGAAGUAAGGCCAAAGCAGUGUUUACAGGGAAUUUAUUUCCAAAAAUGUUCAUAUUUUUAGAAACUUAAAUCAGUUAUUUAAUUUUCUUCCUAUUAGGGGACAUCACUAUGGACCCUAUGGACAAUAAGAGACUUUAAGGGAAUAUUCUGAGCAACUAUAAGCCAAUAAAUUUGACAACUUAGAUGAAAAGUCUUUGGAAAAUAUAUUAUUACCAAGAAGUAACAGAAAACUUGAAUAGCCUGUAAUGCUUAAGCUGAAUUUGUAAUAAAAACUACCCCACAAAGAAAAUGUGAAGCCUGGGUGGCUACACUAACGAGUUUUAUCAAACUUUAAGAAAGGAUGGGGGGCACCUGAGUGGCUCUGUUGAAUGUCUGACUCUUGAUUUUGGCUCAGAUGGCUCAGAUCAUGAUCUCAUGGUUUGUACGAUUGAGCCCUGCAUCUGGCUCCACACUGUCAGUGCUUGGGAUUCUCUCUCUCUUGUCUCUCUCUCUCUCUCUCUCUCUCUCUCAAAAAUAAACAUUUAAAAAACUAGGGGCGCCUGGGUGGCUCAUUCAGUUAAGCGUCUGACUUUGGCUCAGGUCACGAUCUCGCAGUUCAUGAGUUCGAGCCCCACGUCAGGCUCUGUGCUGACAGCUCAGAGCCUGGAGCCUGCUUCCGAUUCUGUGUCUCCCUCUCUCUCUGCCCCUCUCCCGCUCAUGCUCUUUCUCAAAAAUAAACAAAAUUUUUUAAAAUAAAAAAUACUAAAAAUUUUAAGAAUAUGAAUCUAUGAAAUCUUUCAUGAAAGAUAGAAUGAAUAUUCCACUUCCAUUACCAUAGAUUGGUAAUUACCAGUAUUGCCAUGAUACCACCGGAAAAAGAAAAUAAGGGUCAAUAUUCCUCAUUCAUGCAGAAAUUGUUAAUAAAACUUCAACAAAAUUCUAAGUUAUAUACAAGAUCAGUCCAAUAAGAAGAGAUCAUGGUCUUAAAUUUGUAUAUACCAAGUAGCAUAGCUUGAAAAUACAUAUAAAGUAAAACUUACCGGAACUAAAAGAACUCAAAUCCACAUUCAGAAUUUUAACACAACUCUAAACAACUAAUAAAUAACUGAUAAAACAAGCAGACAGAAAGUUAAGAAUGUACAAGACCUGAACAACACAGCGAGCAGGUUUGACCUAAUUAACGACAACGACAACAACAAAAACAUUACACCCAACAGUGGCAUAAUUCAUUCUUCUAAAGAGUGUGGAACAUUUUGCCACAUUGUGUGCUGGGCCAAUAAAGAAAGCCUCAGCAGAGUUCAGAAGUCUGAAAUAAUUCAUUGUGCUUUUUAAUCACAAUGGAAUUGAGCUGGAAAUCACCUAGAAAGUAAAAAUUAAGUGUUGGCCGUAAAUGAGGUACAUUUUAACUUCAGGAUCUGGAAAGAACAGUAAAGUAGAUGAAAGCAAGGGAAAAGAAAGAAGUAAAGCAAAGAGUAAAAAUUUAAUAAAUAGUGCAGGUGCUGCAUGUUGAUGAUUCACAAAAAUAAAAGCUGGUUGUUGUUUUUUUUGUUGUUGUUGUUGUUUUUUGAGAAUUCACCAAAUAAAUAAACUCGGAUAAAACCGAGGAGGAUAAAAGGAGGAGAUAGAACAAAAUCUGAAGUCCUCAAAUGCAGCACCGUUACGUACCACCACGGAGAGAGAAUAAAGCAACCAAAUAAGUUGACAGAGAGUUUGCUAUUCACAUAGAAUUUGUAUUUAUAUAGAGAUUUACUUACCCUGUCUUUUCAUUAGAGUCUGUGAUAGGUGUUAAAAGACAAGUACAAGUGAAAUGAAUUUCUAAGAACUUCCAGACAGUUCUGUGUCACCUUUUUACUCAGUCAUGUUUUCCAUGCCAUAGAUAAUCUAACCAGGAAUGUUGUUGAUGCAGCAUUUUUUUAAAGGAGUACUUUAUGUUCCCUGGUGUUUUUUUCCGUAAGCCAUUGCAAGUUUAAGACGUAUUGUUGUUAAGAAGAGCAAAGAGUCUGAAGCUAACAAGAUAAGUUGCUACCACAGUUUUAAGGAUGCUGGUGGAAGACCUGAGACUUCCUGGAUCAGAGAUCAGACUGUAUUAUAAUCAUACAGUCUGCAAAGCAAGAACAGAGGAUCUUCAUAUUUGCACCGAUUCUCUUGGUGACCCCCAGUCCCCGGUUGACAUGUGUAUACUCAGUGGGCUGCGUUGCUAAGAGGAGCCAGGGCCAAGGUCCCAGCACUUAUGAAGAAGCAACAGACAAUACAGUUUCCUACCUCAGGGCAGUAAGCUGUAAGAUGUGUCCCCUUGACCUGUUGAGUUGCCCGUGUGGCUGACGACAGAAAUUGCACAGUUGGAGGAAAGAGAGAAGCCUCGCGUCCUGGCUCCGCUGUGGGAACGUGCAGGGCUGCCCAGGGCUUGUUGCAGUCUGCCUCUCCCAGCGGUAGUUCUGCAGGGACAGCUGUGGCCGACUGCUGCCUUGCAUUUGCAGUAUUCGUGAUACACCGCUGGUUUCAGAGAUGUUACAGUAUUUUUAAGGAAAUACCUGAGAAUCGAUGACAUACCGUAAGUAAAUAUUAAGAAUGGAAAUGAAGACCGAAUUCGAAAUACUGGAGAUAGUUUUUAAAUCGUGGAAAAUGCAAUGAACAACUUCAGAGCUAUAUAUUUGAAAACUUCUAUAACUUAAAUUCUGUAUUUUAUAGAUACUUGUUUCUGAAUCAAUUUUUAUAGUCCAUAAAAUCUCACAACAAAUGCUUUUUUCUUAUCAGAGAAUAUAAUAAAACAUUUUUGUAUGGAACUGAAUUGAUUCAGAAUUUUGGGGACAGUAAAACUGACCAUUGGGACGUUUCUAAAAGGAAAGUAGAACAAAAUGGAGGGGUACCUUGAGUGCAUUUACUGUCUGUCAUUUGAUUGUUUAUAUUACUGAGGGACAGCAGGUAGGCUGUGGAAUCAGACUAAGAGCUGUUCUAGUCGUGUGUGUGUGUGUGUGUAAAGAAGGGAGUAGAUGCAGAGGAAGGGCAAAUGAAAUGCGGAAGGCAUGACUAUUCAAUAAAUGGUGUUAAGAUAAUUAGAUUUGCAUAUUGCAAAAGUUGUUCCAGGUGAAUUAAACAUCUAAAAGUGAAGAGCAAAAAACCUUAACCACUGGAACAAAUGGUAGGAGAACAUAUUUGUGACUUCUGGCCAAGGAAGGAUUACAGACUAGAAAACACAUUAAAGAAGGUGGAUGGCUACGACUACACUGGAAAAAAAAAGUCGUGUUAUGUGAAAGAUACUAAACUGUUUGAAGACAGGCCACACAGAGUGUUUGUAUUUAGAGUAUGUAAAGAAUUCAUUCAAAAACAAAAAGAAGACCACAGAUCCAGUAGAAAACUGGGCAAAAUAUGUGAAAAAGGCAUUUCACAUUAACAGGAAACCUGGAUGAACAAUGACUACAUGAAGAUGGCUUACUUUGUUAUUACUCAGGGGAAUAUGCACAUGCUGAUGUACAGUGUAAUGACAGACAUCCUGUGAGUUGUCAGAAUAAAAAUACUACCUAGGUUAAAUGUGGAGAAACCGAACUCUCAUGCAGGGAAGUUGGGAGUAUAAAUUGGUACAAAAACCUUGAAGAGCGGUUAGGCAGUGUCUGUUAAUUGUACGGGUUUGUUUGUUUGUUUGUUUGUUUAUUAAAGAUCUCGUCUUUAAUAAACUGCACUUUUAUCACUUCCUUAAGGAGACUCCUUUACGUGUCCUUUACAUAUCUGUCUGGGAGAUGGCCAUGAGGAUGUUCACUGCACCAUUAUUUAUAAUAAUAAACUACUGGGAACGGUGUAAAUGGCCAUUAAUGGGCAGAUGGAAAUCCUGGUCUCUUCACAUAAUAGAGUAUCAUGUGACAAUGAAAAGGAAUCCAUUUGAUCGGGUACGCUGGAUUCAACAUAUACUCAGCCGUGAAAUUGUGAUUUUCAAAAAAGGGCCCAGUUUUUAAUAAUUAUUCUAGGUACUUUUCAGUGUUUAAAAGUAUUAGUGUAUUCUUUCCACACAGAACAAUUUGUAAAGGGACCCUUACCACAUGGGUGAUAGGGUGAUACAUCAUUCUGUAUGGGAGAUGGAAUUUUGAGAGAUUUUUUUGUGUCUAAUUUAUUAAACAGGAGGCACUUUAAUUAUUGAAUACUUAGGGAUUUUUUGGAGGGCAUUGGUAAUUAUUUACUGUUUUCUACUUAAAGUACAAAAUUAGUCUAGCAAUUGAUUGUUCAUCAGUGAUGAAAGCUUUUCACUUUUGUUUUUACCUUUCUCAAAUCUUUCACCUCAUUAUGAUGUAAUCUGUUCAGUUAUAUAGGGUAUUAUUUUCAAAGACUGCCCUCUCAUGAUUGAAUAAUAACUAAGUACAGUUGUAUUCCUAGAUAUUAGGGUAAAAAUGAGAUUAAUAUCUUUCUGUAGUUUAUUAAUAUCUUAAGAGUACAGGCUAUUUGUAGAAAGUUAAAAAUCUGUAUGCACACACACAGCAUCACAGUACACAUACGUGCAUUCUGCUGUUGUCGCUUGCAACUCAAUGUGGAGGUCUUUUUGGAUAAAGUGAGGAUUUCUAAAAAUUCAUCUUAAAGUAUUUGUGGACUUAAAUAUCUGGUUAAAUUUGGGGGUUUACGGCCUUUUCAGUGGGCCUUUAAUGCUUUGAUGACAUUUCAAGAACGCUUUUCAUUUUCUCUAUCUUAACUACUUUCACUCGUAUUUAUUGAAUAAGGAUUAAUCCAACAUGUUUAUUAAAGAAGUUAUUUUUUCACAACAAAAUGAAUUCUUCCUUUCUUAGCAGUGUGGAUUUGGAGCAGCUUAUUUGACAUUCUGGAAUAGUUUUUAAUUUAUUUAGUCUAAAUACUCCUAUACAUUGUGACUGCUGUGAAAUACAUUGACCAAUCAAUGUGGUCUCUUGCAUUCAUGCCACAAUUAAUGGCUUUGGUGGCUUAAUGGGAUCCUUCCAUUUUAUUUUAUAAUUUUUGUUACGGUGAAACUUUAAAGAUAAGUGUACUGGUCAGCGUUCUCCCAAAGAAGCAGCAGCGGGUGGGGACACACACACGCACACACGGACUUAUGAGGAAUUGGCUUUACACAAUUGUGCCUUCUUCUAUUUGUGGUCCUCCAGAGCAGGCAGUCAGAAAGAUCCAGAGGGAAGGGAAGUGUAGACUCAUUUGGUGUUGGGAGUAUUUUGAGUUUAGAGAAGGACUUAUCCCUUCUUUAAAGGGUUCCAACUGAAUAACUCAGGCUCACCCAGGAUAAUCUUCCAUUUGAGUAAAGUCAGCUGCUUAGUGACUUUAAUUACACCCACAGAAUCCUUUCACAGCAGCACCUAGAUUAGCGUUUAGUUGAAUAGCUGGGCCAAAGUGUGCAUAUGCUAAUGGCCAUUCCCUCCUUUCUGUCUUCCAGCUCUUGGGAAGGAAUAUACCUUAUUGUUCACCCUAAUCGGUAACACACUAGAAUGAAAUUCUGGCAACCUAGCUAAGUUCAGCCUAGCUAAGUUGACACACCCCGAUAACUAACUUUUCUCCUUAAAUAGGAACCCCCUUUAUUUUGAUUAUUGAUAUUAAAGGAUAAUUUUCAUUGAUGAGCAAGGGAUGUAAAUUUAGAUAUUAUUAGAAGAUACAUUAUCUCUUUCUAGGAGGUUAAGAGCAACUCAGGAAUCAUGUGGUCCAUUUUUGGUCUGGAUUUAGUUUAUAUUUAACAGAUAGGUUUGCUUGUUCCUGCCUACCCUGUUGUUUAUUUUCCUCCCUCUCAUCAGUUUUACAUGUUUAGUGUACAAAUGCCUUUUAACAUUUUACAUGAAGAGAAGUGGUAGUUCAGAAGGUUUUUAUGUAAGCAAGCUUCCGAUUUAUUAGAAUUCAAGGAAUCUAGAGAGACAUCUGAUUCUUGUCUUAAAUGGAAAAGGAACUAUAGUGGCUGGCCAGGGAAAUCCCAUUUUCCGGGAAAAAUGCGUCACAGCAACUGAAAACUAUUUCAUUUCUUGAUUCUUUUAUUCAGUAGACAUUUUUCAAAUUUUCCUUUGUGGUAGGCAGUAUGCUAAGUUCUGAAGAUACAGUUAAAUGCUAGAUAACGGUGUCUGCCGUUUUUAGGCAAGUUGGACAAGUAUAGAUUUUAAUUAGAAAAAGUUCACUUCAUCAGGGUGAGAUAAUACUAUGUUUUUCAUGAGUUCUUAGUUUUGUUCCAGUAGGAGGUAUAUCGAGGAGGGCCACAGACUUUUAAAAAGUCUUGAGGUUUCCUAGAUAUGUUUCUCAAAAUUACUUCGUACUUUACUAGGAAGAAGGCCUUUAUUUUGGUUAUUGAUAUUAAGGAUAUUUUAUUGACGAGCAAGGGAUAUAAAAUUAAGGACUGCUAGCUACUAAAUUAAAUUUGUAUGUGGACAUUCAUUCUUUGCAGUUUAUGGGCUGCAGACUUUGAGGGCUAGGGUUCCAUUUAUUGUGUAAGAGUUUCUACUGACUGCUUAAAAUCAAUUCUUGCAGCAUGGAACAAUUAGAAUAACAUGCCCUAUUUUUCUUUUUUUACUUUUUUUUUAAUGUUUGUUUUUGAGAGAGACAGAGCAUUAGUGGGGGAAAGGCAGAGAGAGAGAGAGGGAGACACAGAAUCCGAAACAGGCUCUAGGCUCUGAGCUGUCAGCACAGAGCCUGAUGCGGGGCUCGAACCCAUGAACUGUGAGAUCAUGACCUGAGCUGAAGUCGGAUGCUUAAUUGACUGACCCACCCAGCACCCCUAGGCUUUGUUUUUAUUGUGAGAAUAUAUUGGUACAUCUUUUCUACAGAAAAUUAGAGAGGAGAACUAGAGUUGGUGUAUGGAGUUCAUGUUUAUUGAACAUGGUAUUUUCUCUUCCAUUUCAGUAAAUAAACAUCUGAGUGUGAAGAAUAUUCUAUGAAAUGCUGGGCAAGAAUCCUAAUCUCAAGUAGAAUCUUAACCCAUAGUAGAAAUGAAGAGAUGAAAUGUAUAGAUAUAAGGGAUGCCUUAUAAAAAUUUGUCAUUGAAGAGUCAGAUGACUGUGUCUGCUGGAGAAAUUCAGGACGGAAGAGCUUUUGAGACAGCUUGGCAAAAAUGGGCCUCAGGGAUGAUUUUCAGCUUUCAUGUGGACAUGGGAAAAGAACAGGUUUGGUGAUGAUGCUUCAGUGUGGCAUAGUGGAGAGCACGAGAAAAAGAGUCCCGAUUUGCCUUUAUGUUCUAGGUCUUUUACUUACUGGUUAAAGGACUUGGGCAACUUACUUUCUCUGUCUAGAGCUCAUCUGUAAAAUAAAGUUAAUGGUAUCUACUAUCCAGGAUUACUAAACGAUUAGCAGUUAGUAAGGAUUAGUGUUCAUUAUAUUUUCAUAUAUAUAUAUAUAGAUAUAUAUACACACACACACACAUUAGUAUUAUAGUUAUUGUUUUAUAAUAUAGGCAGUUGAAAGAUCUUUUUGGUAUCUAUGGUCAUUUGCAAAAACAAUCAGUUUUUUCAGUUAUAAUGAUUACUAUUAACAUUGUUGAAAUUCAACCUCAUUCUCAAAAUUAAUCACAGUAAUUAUUGAUGGUAGCUUAAUUCGUGAGCAUUUCAGUGAUUUCAUAUGGUUGUUAUAAAGUUUGUUUUAUACCUCAGAAAAUGUUUCCAUUGCAUCCAUAUUUCAGUUAGAUGGAGAAUAGCAUCUGUUACAUCCAUUCCUUAAUUAACUGAGAAGAAAUGGAACACAGUUACUCUGUAAGAGUGGACUUGGUUGUCCUGUCUAAGCAAAUCUUCUUGUCUUAGGGGUAAGUCUUUAAUCACUAGUGGAUGUGUGGCGAACCAUUCUUUGGUCACUGAUGGAACAUAUUUUAAAGCAGUUACCAAGGCUUUGAAGCAAAUGAUAACUUUCUGCUUAUACAGCCCAAGUGAUGUCAGUGGAUAACGGGAAGAGGAUUUGAAGAAUUGUACUUAUUAGUUCCGUAUCUCUGAAACUUGAGUAUGCUUGAAAUGAUAUUUUUUAGUGUUUAUUUACUUAUUAUUUUGAGAGAGAGAGUAUGUGCUAGCAGGGGAGGGGCAGAGAGAGAGAAUCCCAAGCAGGCUCCACGCUGUCAGCCCAGAGCCUGACAUGGGGCUCGAUCUCACAAACUGUGAGAUCAUGACCUGAACCAAAAUCAAGAGCCAGACGCUUAACCAACUGAGCCACCCAGGAGUCCCUAAAAUGAUUUCUAAUAAACAACAACAACAACAACAACAAGCAUGGAUUCUCUGAACUUUUGUUUUUUUUCUGAUGGGAGAUCAUGUCUUUCUUUGGUGAUAUAAUUGAAUUCUCAGGGAAUUACAGUAGAAUGUAAAAAUCCCAAUAAAAUGUUUAAAAUUUAACUUGAACAUUAAUUAUUAUAACAUUGGAUAAUGUACAAAAUAUAUAAAAAGUCACACUUUGUAACAGUAAAAAUCAUGAAUGUGAUAGGCCAUUUUAGUUAGCAAAUAAUUUAGGAAGUUUUUAAAACUGGUUUUAGGGAAGUUAGAUAUAUUGGCUGCAUAAUUGUAAUUCACGAAAGGAGGCAUUUAUAUAGCUGUUUUUACCUAUUGAAAUGCCUGCAGAGUAUGCUAAAAAAGGUAACAGACUGUUCCAAAAAUUACCCUGUUUUUGCUCGACCACCGCGUAUUACAUGGAAGUGUUUGAAGGUGCUGUUUCCUGUUGUGCUCACGUUCACAUUGUGGAUUCAGAUGUCGAAUGGAUUCAGACUGUCGAAAUCCAUUCAUUCAUUCAUUCAUUCAUUCACUCAUUUGUGUUUUAUUAAUGUUUUCAUUGACGUUUUUAAUUUAUUCACAUCUUUUAAUGUACAUGUCAGUCUUACUCUGGGUGGGCCGUUUUUCACAGGUACCCACGGGAAGUGAAAAUAAUUCAGUAUUUUUAAGAGAAAAGGAAGAGUGCCUUACAUAAUAGACUGUGCUGAGUUAACUGAAUCACUUUUAUGGUUAUGUUUUGCUGAUCAAACUAUUGUGAAGGGUUAUUAGAAAGAUCUCACUUUUUAUAACUCUGUUUUGUUAGCCACGCUUUAAUAAAAGCUUAGAGGAAGAGUCUUGGAUUUUAUAAGCUUUGGAUGAUGGAGGCAGUAUAAUAGGAGACAUGUAGACCCUGACUUCACCAAGUUCUUCCAGUGGAGUCAAAUUAUCUUUGCUUUUCAUCCUCCGAGAAGUAUGGAUAUGCGAAAUACACUAGCACUUGGGAAUUACUAGGACAAGAAGGAACUCUGCUCGUAAUACAUUAACUGUUUGUUCAGCUCUGUAUCGUGCUUUGAUCGCCGUCAGACGGAGUGUCAUCCAUUAACCAAGAAAUAAGAGGAAUGCUGUUGGGAGUGUUGAACAAUGCAGAUGCUGCUGACCCGUUCAUUCCUAUGAUGAUCUCCAGGGUGUGUUUUGGAUACCUAUCUAUUUUUUCAGUUGAAAUCAGAAGAAGAAUCUUAAGAUACUUAAAUAUACCAAAUGAUCCUAAAAGUUACAAAUAUUUUACAUAGAAACACAGAAAGACUAUUAACAUUAGAUUGGUUUGAUUGACCAUUCUGUUCUUAAUUCUAAAAUUUUCCAAGGCUGAAAGCCACUACAAUGAAAAGAAUUCAAAUAUCCCAGGUAAUUGGGGAUUGGGCACCUGUGUUUUUUAGUCUAGAGGAAUCAUUAAUUGUUAUUUCAUUCACUUUAGUUAAUUAAUUAAUUUUCUUUUGAUUUGGGGGCUUCCUUAUUGAGGAUUUAGGACACCCUUGAUGGUUGGUUAUGUUAAUAUAAUGACGGGAAGUGGAACUAAGGGGGAUCCCUGUUACCUGGAAAGCCGUCUUUUCAGGAAAGCAUAGGAAGGGGUCAGGGAUACCAUGAGUUACAUAGUAAAAGUAUUAGGUACUAUGAGGUUAGUCACUGUCAUGAACAUAUUUUCUUUUAUUUAAUCCUUACAACCCUGUAACCUUUACAAGUGAGGACAUAAACUUUAAGGAGGAAAUUAUUAUAUUGUGUAACCUAGAUCAGUCAAUUUUAGUAUGUACUUUAUUUAUGUUUAAUUUAUGUUUAUAUAUAUGUGUGUAUAUAAAAAACAAAAGGCUUUAAAAAACUUUUUUUAAUGUUUAUUAUUUUUGAGAGACCAGAGAGACAGAGCAUGAGCAAGGGAGGGGCACAAAGAGAGAGGGAGACACAGAAUCCGAAACAGACUCCAGGCUCUGAGCUGUCAGCAUGGAGCCCAAUGUGAGGCUUGAACUCACGAACGGUGAGAUCAUGACCUGAGCCGAAGUUGGACGCUUAACUGACUGAGCUGCCCAGGCGCCCCUAGAAGGAAAGGCUUUUUAAAAAUACGUUAGAGCGUACUGUGUGAUCAGGAGAGAGUGGCAGAGGGGGAAAAAGAGAGAAUCUUAAUCAGGCUCCAAGCUCCACAUGGAGCCCGACCUGGGGCUCGAACCCAUGACCUGAGCCACAGUCGAGUUGGAUGCUCUAUUGACUGAGCCACCCGGGCACCCCUAAUGUGCACCUUUUUUUUUUUUUUUUCAUUUUCCUUUUUUUUUUUUUUUUUUCCUUUUCUUUUUUUUUUUUUUAUGUUUAAUGUUCAUUCUUUUUUGAGAGAGUAGGGGAGGGGCAGAGGGGGGUUGACAGAGGAUCCAGUGGAGGCUCUGUGCUGACAGCAGACAGCCCGAUGCAGGGCUCGAACCCAUGAACCAUGAGAUCAUGACCUAGGUCAGGUGCCCAGCCAACAGAGCCACCCAGGCACCCCCUAACAUGCACUUUUAAUAGCACAGUGAAUUUUGGUGUCUGUCACUCAUCUCAAUUGCAAGUGAGUAGUUACUCUGUUAGUCCUUGUCUUGUCUCUCUCCCUUGCUAGCCUGUGAGCUCCUUUAAGGGCUUGUAUGUCCAGUUAGGCACCAUAAACCAUCUGUAGUAGGAAAGUGCCUUCCGUUUAGUAGAGAAACUCAAAUAUUAAGUAAAUAAAUGAAUACAUAAAUGAGUUGCUCAGGGUUACUGAGAUAUCUGAAAUAAGGGACUGAAGUACCAAAAGGCUGGCAUUUGAGUCUGUGUUCUUUCCUUGCUCUAUUAUGUACCCUUUUGCUGUUUUGAAGUAGGUAGCGGGGAGAGACCUUCUUGUUUGGCCUUUCUGUAAUCCGUUCUUUGCAUUUGUUCUCUAUUGUGCAGUGACCAAAAGAUGAUUUAGGGUUUGAAGCAAACUUAACACUCCAGUUAUCUGCUGGUAAAUAUGAGUACGUGGCAGGUGCUCAGGACCAUGGAAUGUAAAACAAUUAUGAAUUGUAUUCCUUUUUCCUUACCGAGGAUCUUGAAGUUCAGUUAUGAUAGUAUAGCUUCGCAGAUAUGUAUUUCUAAAUUAGCAGACAAUUGUGUGUGUGUGUGUGUGUGUGUGUUUGUAAUGUUUAUGUAUUUUUGAGAGACAGAGUGAGAGAGCGAGUGUGAGUGAGCAAGCAGGGGAGGGGCAGGGAGAGGGAGACACAGAAUCCGACGCAGGCUCUAGACUCCGAGCUGUCAGCAUAGAGCCCGACACGGGGCUCGAACUCACGAACUGUGGAAUCAUGACCUGAGCCGAAGUUGGACACUCAACCGACUGAGCCACCCAGGCACCACAGCCAGUUGUGUUUUUGAUGCCGUUUAUCACUGAUGGGUUCACGAUUACCUGAAGGAGCCUGUGAAUUAAUAUUGGGGCGGUGUGAAUGCUGUAAAUAUCCACAGUGGCAUUAAGCUGGACAGGACAUUGCACAGUAACAACUACGCAUAGAGGUGCUAUUCGUCUUCACCCUAUGGUCCUCAGGGACUGUAACCUAACAAACCACGUGCUGUUGCUCUUUUACGUUUUGGAAACCCUAAUUCUAGGACAUUAGGCUGUGAUCUUUGACUUCAAGAAAUGAGGCAGGCCGUAGCUGUUUGUGGGUCCUUCAGGAUAGUCCUUACUUUCCUGUGAUUGUAUGUUAUUCAUCCAACCCAUCUUUUUAUUUUGUAUAUGUGUUUUCAUUUAAAUUACAUUUUUUUUCAACGUUUUAUUUUUGAGAGAGAGACAGAGCAUGAGCGGGAAGGGGCAGAGAGAGAGAGAGAGAGAGACAGAAUCCGAAGCAGGCUCCGGGCUCCGAGCUGUCGGCACAGAGCCCGACACGGAGCUGGAACCCACGAACGUUGAGCUCAUGACCUGAGUCAGAGUCGGACGGUAAACCGACUGAGCCACCCAGGCGCCCCUCAAUUACAUGUUCAGUGGUCUAAUUUUUAACCACAGAAGUCAGGUAGAUUAUUGUUUUGAUAUUGCCUGGCUGAUAUUUUUCUUGAUGGAUUUUAAAUUGAAUUUUUUGGAUCUUAUUUUCCCUAACCCACAUAGAAAAGUACACAUGUAGAAUGCACAAGAAAACACCAUAUGGCUUAAGAGCUUAGUAAUCAUUUAACCAGUGUAGUUUAUUUACUUGCUACUUUAAGUUUAAAUAUAGAAAUUUAAUUCCAGAUGUUUUUUAAAUACUAUUCAAAAUAUUUUGCCAGAUGUGUUAGGGAAAUGAUUUCUCAUAUACAAGGACAGUAGUGAGUAAAGUGAACGAAUCAUGGUUUUUAAAAAAAAUCCGAAUUUGAGUUCAGUGAUGCUUUUAAAGUAAAUUUACAUUGUGUUCAUUAUGCUGCGAUGUAUUAUCUGUGGAGAAACCAGUAGCACAUCUGUAUGUGACACAUUGUUUCGUUGAUGAAAUAUGCAUAUGUGUAAACUAUGUCAAAUUCACAAAUAUUCAACAAAAACUGAUGAAGACGUUAUAAAAGAAGUCCAAGUUCUUUUACUUGAUCUGUUCUUUUACAAGAUCUGUGCAGAGUAGGACAGAGAAAUGUGCAGCUUCUGAUCAUAUGCCGAACUCCUACUUGGGCAUUUCUGAAUGUAUUUGAGUAACACAGAGCAUGAGAAAGAACCAAGGCUUCACACUCUGUAUGCCGAUGCAGAAGGCUGUAUAUAGUUCAGUAUUAAGUAGUUUUAUAGAGCCAUGAAAUUCUUUGGAAGCAAAGUGGGGGAAGUGAAUUCUGUUAGAGGGGUUGAUGGGAAAAUAGUAUGGAAUUAGUAUUUGAACUCAUUUCUUCAAUUUCAUUAAUUUUUUAUCAAUUCCUUUUAGGCUUUUUUGGGUUGUAUUUUGUGUAGAGCUCGUGGAAUAAUCAUGGUUUAUUCCUCUGUCCGGAAAACUGUAGUUGUUGUUCUUUAUGUGCUGUUUCAAAUUCAAACCCUGUAUGGAAGAUAAUUCAGUGCUUUGAUCAGCUGAGUUCUCCUCCAGUCUGCGACCCCAAAAGAUUACAGUUGGAUCUUUUUUGAGCUUCUUUCUCAUAAAAAUUCAAUUUAAAAUAAUUCCAUGUUUUUCCUUCGUGUUUAGUAUAUUUUUAUUGACUAAAUUAAUUAAAAUUUAGUUUAUGUUAAGCUGGUACUCUUUUCCCCAAAGUGCUUUCUGAUUUUAUUUUUCUAAAUUAUAACCUAUAAUCCUGUCCGUUUAUUUGCUGUUGUUCAGUCAGGUGUUCUCUUAUGUUCCUGCUUGUACCAUUUCCUAUAGUCCCCUGUUUGAUUUUAGAUAGCAGCCUGUUCGAGCUAUGGCAACACCAGUUACAUAGGUCUUAUGAGAUGCUAGGUACUCAUCUGUGUGCUCUGCAAACACCACACAUUUAGAGCUCAGUCCUGCGAUGGAAACUCUGUACUUAACCUCUGUUAUACAGAUGAGGAAGCCAUGGUUCAGAAUUUUGCCUGAAUACAGCUAGUAAGUUCACUAUCAUAAAUGAAUAUUCAAAAAUCAGACUUAACAAUCAGUCAUAUUCUAAAAAAAAAAAAAUCAUUGUUUUAGAUGUCUGUGGAAUUUACUGCCUAAAUUAAUUCCUUCAGGAAAAAGUAGCUUCGUUAACAGUGAACCAUAUGCUGUCGCUCUUACUCUUUCCUUAAAACUAUCAUACUUGGACCUGGUAAUGAUCUCUGCUUGAGGCCGCAAGUUACCCUGUGGAUGGAUUUGUCAGAAUGAUCAUCUUGUUUCUUGUUACUGUUUUCAGUGAAACAAUUGUAAUCUUUUUUAUUUCACUUUUUAAAUAUUUAACCUUGCUUACUUAGUAUACUGUCAGUUGUAAAGUCUUUAAGGCAGAGUGUAUAAUAUGAAAUCACUUUAGCUGAGUGACACUGAGUCAGGGUUCUCUGUCCAUUAGUUUAUCUCAUUUUUAAGUGACUAACAAGUGAUCAUAGUAAUACCUACCUCUAAGGUUUAAAAGGAUUGGUUAACUUUAUGAGAAAUAAAAUGCUUAGUACAAGGCCAUAGAUGUCUUAAUGUUUUAACAGUAUUAGCUUUGACUUCAUUUUUGUAUCUUAUGCUGUGCUCUAGUAAAAAUUGAACAGCUAUGUGGCAUUUACUAUGAUUGCUAGGGAGUAUGAAGGUGAGUUUGAUUCUAAACUUCUUGAAGUUUUUUAGCUAGUAAUACAUAUCAGACUUAGUAUGACAGAAGACAAAAUGAUAGGAUGGGCACACAGGAAACAUCCUGAGAGGACCUGGGGAAAAUUUCAUUAAAAGAUGAAUUUUGAAACUAGGAUUUGGAUGAUUUGGAAAAGAAAAUGAGUAGAAAUGUGAAGUCUUUUUUUUUUUUUUUUCCUUUGUGCUAUGAGCAAGUAAAUAUUCCAAUUUAAAUUUGUUUUUAAUCUGUAUUGAUGUUUGAAAGAGAGCGAGCAUGAGUGGGGCAGGGACACAGACACAGACAGGAGACACAGAAUCCAAAGCAGGCUCCAGGCUCUGAGCUGUCAGUACAGAGCCCAGCGUGGGGCUCGAACCCACAAACUGUGAGAUCAUGGCCUGAGCUGAAGUCAGAUGUUUGACUGAGCCACCUAGGCGCCCUAUAAAUAUCCCAAUUUAAUAUUUUAAAACCAUCACACUGAAGUUUUUUUGUUUUUUGGGUUUUUUUUUUUUUAAUGUUUAUUUGUUUUUUAGAGACAGAGUGGAAGCAGGGGAGGGGCAGGGAGAGAAGGAGACACAGAAUCCCAAGCAAGCUCCAGGCUCUGAGCUGCCAGGACAAAAGCCUGAUGCUGGGCUCGAUCUCACAAACCCGUGAGAUCGUGACCUGAGCUGAAGUCAGAUGCCUAACCAACUGAGUCACCCAGGUGCCCCUUAAAACAUCACAUUUUAAAACAAAUGACUGUUUUUCUAUACCUUUCAUAAUUUCAUGUGUGCUAGAUGGUGAAGAGACUAGGACACAGUAUACAAAAUUUCACAUUGGAAUAGCAGAAGAAUUCUAAUAAUGCUAUGGGGAAGUGUUUCGUGGUUCCAUGGGCAAUAAAUAACUGCUUUUAUGUGAGUGAUCAUGAGCAGCAGAAACUUAGCCACAAGUUUCCAAAAGGAUUCCCUAACAGUUCUUUAUUUCUAUUCUCACUUUCUGUUUUUGUUUACUAUUAGCUGGCCACUUAUCUUCAAAUUUGCUGGGAAAUGAAAUUAAAAUCACCUGAUCAUUUUUGAUUGUUAUGGGAAAGUCUUUACGCAGAUUUUGCUCAGUCUCUUCAGCCUUACCUAUGGCAUCAUUAAGAUCAUAUUCCGCUUCCCAAACGGUCACGUCCGAAAUGAUUUCCACAAAGUAAAGCAGCUGUAGAUCUAGAGAAGUUGUACGGAUUGUGGUCAUCAUUAGAAGAAACCAAUAUUAUUUGGACGUAGUUUGGCCCUGACUGGUGAUACUUUAGUUUGGAAAUGCAGUCAUUACACUUAAAUUAGUGGAAUUACUAUAUAAAAAUUAGAAGGAGGGGUCCCCUGGGUGGCUCAGUCGGUUGAGCGUCCGACUUUGGCCCAGGUCAUGAUCUCGCGGUCCGUGAGUUCGAGCCCCGCGUCGGGCUCUGUGCUGACAGCUCAGAGCCUGGAGCCUGUUUCAGAUUCUGUGUCUCCCUCUCUCUCUAACCCUCCCCCGUUCAUGCUCUGUCUCAAAGAUAAAUAAACGUUAAUUUUUUUUUUUUUUAAGUUAAAAAAAAAAAAAAAAAUUAGAAGGAGGACAUACCUGACAGGCAUUUAGUAUUGUUUGUAGGCAGUUGAUGUUUCUUGUGAAAGAAAAGUAUUGAGGAUAGUCCUUUUGUUCUUAAGUUGGAAAAUAUUCGACAUAAGACAAAAGUUCUUCAAAUUUAAUAAAUUGCUUCAUUGUGCUUAAUUUAAUAAGCAUCUGUUGAAUGCCUGCUUCCUUGAGAACUUACUGGGAGUCUGCAACAGACUGAAUAUAUGCAUAUUCUGAUCUUCAUAUAUUAGAAAAUAAUUGGCUUUGAAAAUAUGAUUGUUGCAGGGCUCAAGUUCAAGUUAAAAGUUAGAGUCAGUGAGCAGUUAAAUUAUGUGAAAUCUGCUUUAUGUCCAGUCUCUCAAUGAACUUUUCUUAAGCUAAUUUUAGAUUGUGUAUACAGCUGGAGAUGGUUAUAUGUCUAAGCUUUAUUACUUGGCUAAAAAUACAUAUAUUCAUAAGUGUGUUAUUGAAACCUUGGUUUGCUUAAAUAUGUAACACUUUUGAAUUCCUUUCUUGGAAGUUUUGGCAUGGUGAACUUUCACAUUAAGAGCACAGUAGGGGGAGAAGUCUUGUGCUCAUUUGCCUGACUACAGAGGUGUAAUUAAAAGAGUUUAUCAGCAGGGGUUGAGACAAUCAGUGUGGUCUGAUGUUUCAUGUUAUAGAGUUACUUUGUUGUGCAGAUAGAUAACUGCAAUUAGAACAUAAUUUUAAACUUCCCAGGGCACUGACUCAUCAGGGUUUUGGUUUUAACCUCAAACCAGUCAAAAGCAAAUUAGUUCUUAAAUUUUGAGGAUUUUAAAAAUAUUUUUAUGUCACUGAAUAUAGUAGCUACAAAAAUGAAGUGGAUGAUUAUAAUUGAAGAGUAAUGGUUAGAACUUCAGGACGAUGAUUUGAUUAGCCCUAACUUAGUAAUAAUGUUGGAUGUAUUUAUUAUGCAUUAAGACCAAAUUUUAGUUUUGAUUCUCACCUAUGGAAAACUUUAGUAACUGAAGGAAUUCUGUGUGUUAAGUGGCCACAGGCUUAGCAUUUUUGUUUAUAUUUGUGUCCUUGAAAUUUGAUAGACACUUCUCUGAUCUAGAAAAAAGUCAUCUUGUAGAUGUAAGAGAUCUGUUUCACUGUGCUUCUCUGCCAGUUGUUGGUACGGUUCUUGAUGUAACUGAUUCGGGAAUUCAUUUAUGGAGAAAGAGCCCUGGACUUGGAAUUCAGACAUAGGACCAACACCAAAGAAGCAAAAGCCACAUUUACCAGAUAAUUUCGCUGUGUUUCCUUAUCUGCAUCCAGAGCCCCUCCUAGCUCUGAAUGCUAUGCAAACAAGAUGGGCUUAAAAUAUCAUAUGAAAAUUUUGAAAGGUAAAAUGGUAAAAUAGAAAAAGUUCUCAAGAUUCAAGUUCUCAGUGUUCUGUUUCUGGCUUUUUCACUGAUUUAUGCUAUUUUGGGGCAAUUUGCUUAAGGCUCUCGUGCAGGUGAUAUCGUAUGCUAGGAAUUAGUGUUGCCAGUGCAGGCUCUGAAAGUCAUUCUGCCUGGUAGAACACUUACUGUCUAAGUGACUCGGGCCAGCCUCACGUGUCUCAGCCUGUAGGGACAUGCUAGUACCACGAUAGUAACAAUAAUAGUGGUGCACUCACAGGGCUGUUAGGAUCGAGCGAGGUGGUGUUUCUGUAUUGCUGAGCACAGUACUUGGCAAGCAGUAAGUGUCUGAUACAAGUUUAGUUACUGUCAUAUCAUCACCCCCAUCAUUAGUUUCAUUUCUGAAUUUCUUCUUCAUCACCUGAGGCUGAAAGUUAUUUUGAAAUUGGUUAUUUCUUUAGAGUAUACUUGUCAAGAAUGGAGACCAUAGUGAAGUACUGUUCGUAGUUAUACCUACCUACUCUAUAGUCAGAUACGAAUGACAUUAUAAACUUGCUUUAUAUGCUCCUCAAUUUUAAUUUACUGUAUAAAUAAAGCUGUUCCACUUAUUUGAAUGCUGUCUUGUCAUUUCCAUCUCUUAAAAGAGUCAAGGUCCAUGGUUUUGAACUUUGAACAUAUGUAUACACAUAGUAAUUAUUUAUAUGUAAUUUAUCUUUGCUCUUACUUUGUUAUGUUAAGAUAUAACUUUAGUCCUGCAGUUUGAAAAAAAAAAAAAAAAAUUUGACCCGUCUAUUACUGCAUUCUUCUGACACAAUGAAAUAAGGCAGUAUGGAGGUGAUAAAGGAAAAACACCGUCUUUGGAUAUGAACAGCAGACCUCAUGAGCGUUAUUGGAAAAAAUCUGGGAAAGUUGACUAGAGAGGAGAACAAGAAUAAAAGGUUAAAGAUGAUCAAAUACAACUGGGAGCUUAUAUAUGAGGUCAAAAAGAAGCAGACCCAGAAACCAAGAUAUAUGGAGACUUAUUUAGACAGAAACAAAAAUAAUGAAACCAGCAAGGCAAUGUGGGGAAAGUUUCAGUAUACUAAUGUACUUACUAUUUAUUUUUUAAAAUUUACAUCCAAAUUAGCAUAUAGUGCAACAAUGGUUUCAGGAGUAGAUUCCUUGAUGCCCCUUACCCAUUGAGCCCAUCCCCCGUCCCACAGCCCCUCCAGCAACCCUCAGUUUGUUCUCCAGAUUUAAGAGUCUCUUCUGUUUUGUCCCCCUCCCUGUUUUUAUAUUAUUUUUGCUUCCCUCUCCUUAUGUUCAUCUGUUUUGUCUCUUAAAGUCCUCAUAUGAGUGAAGUCAUAUGUUAUUUGUCUUUCUCUGACUGACUAAUUUCACUUAGCAUAAUACCUUCCAGUUCCAUCCACGUAGUUGCAGAUGGCAAGAUUUCAUUCUUUUUGAUAUACUCCAUUGUAUAGAUAUACCACACCUUCUUUAUCCAUUCAUCCAUCGAUGGACAUUUGGGCUCUUUCCAUACUUUGGCUGUUGUCGAUAGUGCUGCUAUAAACAUGGGGCUGCAUGUGUCCCUUUGAAACAGCCCACCCGUAUCCCGUGGAUAAAUGCCUAGUAGUGCCAUUGCUGGGUCGUAGGGUAGUUCUAUUUUUAGUUUUUUGAGGAACCUCCAUCCUGUUUUCCAGAGUGGCUGCACCAGCUUGCGUUCCCAUAUUAAUGUAUUUCAAUGACGCUCCUCAAUAAUAAGAGCUCAGUUGUUCACUGGAGUAAAUAUUUGUUAAAGGCCAGAUAGAUAUGGCUAAAGUCAGUUAUGUACAUAUUGUCAAGAAUAUAAAAAACAAUGAGCGAUGGUUCUGGUAAUCAAUUAGGGUUGAACUCUCUAAAAGCUAGAAUAAGACAAUACACAGGUUAACUAUAAGUUGCAGUAAAGUUAUAGGUAUUAGAGUCCAUGUUUGUGGAUAGGCCAAUUUAUUUACCACAUGGAAUGACUAUAAGCAAGAAAUGGCACCUGAAAUUAGUGUGGAUUGAAUGGGUAUAUGUAUAGAUGGUCCUUGUCCUCAAGUUGUAAAAAUCCACACAUCUUGAGAAAACUCAUUAAGGAACAAUAACAGCUGCGACAUAAUUGUAGACCAGUUUAGAGAAGGGAGAUAAUGAGCUCCAGUUCAGACACGUUGAGUUGAAACUUGAGAGUGCAUGGACUUCCACAUGUCGAGAUGGCAGUUAAAUUUGAAGGCCUAGGAAUCAGCAGGGAUGAUUGUGCCGGAAUGUAAAUUUGGGACUAUGUCAGUGGAAAAGAAAAACCAUGUUCCUCUGUGUUGCUGAACAUUUGGUGACACAUAAUAUAAAAUGACAUUGCCUUGGGUAAUUAUAAAGCAGGCAUUAUAAUAAUUAGUAAUAAUGAGCUAAUUUUUCCACAUCUUAUCUCUGCUGUUUACUCUUGAAAUACUGUCUGAAACGUAACUGUAGAAAGACUUAAUGUCUUGACCAUAGUUUCUAAGAGAUACACCAUUUUGGAUGUACAUCCAUUUUGCCAUCCCUCCUCUGUGCUCCAUUUCAGCCUUUUAUUUGUCCUAAAUUAUUUAUUGAAGUGAGAAAUUUAGGGAGUAGUUUGUUUUUUAAGUUUAUUUAUAUUGGGAGAGACAGAGGGAGAUGGGUGGAUUCCUGAGCAAGCUCCGUGCUGUCAGUGUGCAGCCUGAUGCAGGGCCUGAUCUCACCAACCAUGAGGUUGUGACCUGAGCCAAGAUCAAGAGUCCGAUGCUUAACUGACUGAGCUACCCAGGUGCCCCAGGAGUAGAUUCUUAGGUAUUGGGUACAGAGUAUGUACCCUAAUUCUACUGUAAUUUCUUACUUGUUUUUUUAUGACUGAAAGAGAACCUUUAUGAAUAGGCUUUAUUGACUUCUAUAGUAUUUGCCAAUUCCAGAUUGCCUUUAUUAUCCAUUUCAAAAACAGAAAAAGGACACAGGGAGAAAUUAUAUUUGUGUUAAAUAAUUACUAGGCGUAAAUAAUCACUCUUGAAGGAAUUUGCUUAACUCUGCCUGAGUUUACAAUGUAUUGUGAUUGGAUAAAUGUGGCCUCUGGGUAGAGUGAUCUUAAAACCUUUUUUUAAGAAUCAAGUUUGGUAACGUUCAUGGAUUAAAAGUAUGUAAUUCUGUGAAGUGUGAGGUUGAAAGCUGCCCCCCUCCUUCCCACCGAGAUUCUUUGAUAUUUAUUCCUUAUUCUACCUUGUGGCUUACCUUGCCAACAGUGGAUUUUUUUUACUUUUCAUCUCUUUACACUGUAAGAACUCAGUGGGCCCCUUUCAUUCGGAAGCUCUUACCCUUCAGUUUUAUUUUGAAAGUAUGUAUUAUGUUGGUGAUUUUUCUCCCUUCUUCCCUUUUCUUUUUUCUUGGUGAGAUGUCUGUCAUUUAGUUUCUAGACCUCUUGGACUAGUCUUCUAAUUUUUAUAGUGUUCUUUACCAUUUACCAUCUUUGUCUUUACUGCUCCCUGGAGGGAGAGUUUUUCAAUUUUUAUCUUCCAAUCUCUUGAUCAGGUUUUUCAUUUUUACUAUUAUAUUUUUAGUUUUUCAAGUUCUGCUCUAUCUUUGGAAUUAUUUCAACAGUAUCCUUGACCUGUUUCAGGGACACAGUGUGUUUUCUUAACUCUCUGCAGAAGUUAGCUUCUUUCCUAACUUUUUGGCCAGUGGCUGCUCUUCGGUUGUUUUCUAGUUGUUUGUUGGGCCGGUCAGACUCGCCGAGACGGGCCUUCCAUCCCCUCCCCUGGCGCGGGCGGCACAGCUCAGCCUUCAGUGCGGAAGCGUCCCGCUAACUGCCCCUCAAAACUCAGUUCUGUAACGAGGAACAUUUCGAGGUUUUUGCGGGGAAUUGAGGAGUGCCGGCUCUUUGGGGAGAGGGGAUGUGCAGGAUCGGCUGCUCCUUCGCGAGAAUUCCCUUGUCUUCCGGUUCUUAGCUCCACCUUCAGCCCUCCUACUAUUGCUGCCAUUUCCUCAGCUUUUUGUGGGGGAGAAGGAGGGUGGGUGGAAGGAUCUAGGAUUUGCUAAAUCCCUGACUGCUUAUCCAUAUGCUUUGUGGUUUCUAAAUUGUUUCCUUUCCCAUUUUCUUUUUCCUUACGACUUUUGUACAUUUUAAACUCUACGGUAUUCUAGAAUUUUAGGAGGGAGUGAAAGUAUAUGCUUAUAAUAAUUCCACCACCUUUAUCUUUGUCUAUAAAUUUUUGUUCUUUCGGGUGUUUAUUUAUUUUUUCGAGUGUUUUUAAAACUGUAAGUAAAACUUUAUUUUGAAGCCUACGUUAGGGUAGAUGUAACUUUCUUUUGUUUUUCAGUUUUUAACUGGCACUUAAGUUGUUGAAUUAAUUAAGUAUACAUUUACCAUGGUGUUUUUACACUUUAAAAUUUUAUUCCUUUGGUAAAGCACAAUGCCACAUUAUACUUCAACUUUAUUCUCUCUUCCUAUCGUGCAAAUGCUAUCUCUUCCUUUUCAAAUCCUUCGGCUUUUUGUCUUUUCGUGUAGAAAAGUUUCUGUGGUAAGUCACGAUUUUAGUUUCUGUACUUAGGCCUUUCUAAAUAUUUUGGAUUAUAUAUAUAUGUUCCUCAGUUAUGCUUGUAUUAAUAUCUGUGUGCAUUAGUGUCUUACAUACGUGAGCGCACACGCAUGUACACGCACAUUAGCUUUUAGUGUCUAUGUCUACUAAUUACAACAGCUCUAGGUUGGUUUUGAUUGUUGUUGUUGUUGUUUUUGUCAUGGAUGUUGUAUUUUCCUGCUUCUUUCCAUGUCUUUUAAUUUGUGAUUAGAUGCUAGAUGUAGUAUGACUUUUACCUUUUUGGGUGGAUAUUUCCUAUUCCUGUCAGUAUUCUUGGGCUUUGCUCUGGGACACAGUUGAGUUAGUUGGAAACACUUUUCAUCCUUUUAGGUCUUGCUUUUAAGAUUUAUUUGGACAGUCCUGGGACAGUGCUCAGACCAGCUUUAGUUACUUCCCACUGCUGAGGCAAGCCCUUCUGUAUACUUCACCCGGUGUCUGUGACUCGUGAAGUCUCUCAGUCUGGCUCAUUGAGAACCCACCACUUUUACCUUGAACCCUACCCUUUGGCAGGUUCUUUCUCCAGCCGCCAGUAUUUCCUCUCCCACACAUGCACCGAUCAGUGUUCAGCCGAGCAUUUGAGCAGACCUUAUACACACCUCCAGGAUUCUUUCAGUGCAGCCCUUCCUAGGACUCUUCUCUGUGACCUCUGGCUGUGUUGGCCUCCCUGGAAUCUUCACGUAGUCUCCUCAACCCAGAGAGGCAGCCUGGCACCCUUCCCGGGGCUGUAGUCUGGAAACUCCCAAGCCAGAGAGCUGGGGUAAUCCUGGGGUUUACUUAAUUGAUUUGCCAUUUCUCAGCCCCACUGGCUUUACUGCCUGUGACCUUCAGAGGCUUGAGAACUGUCAUUUUUUGGGUUUUACCUGUUGUAUUGGCUGUUUCAGCCAGGAGAGUGAAUCUUGUCUGUGUUAUUUUUAUCUUGGUAGAAGUACUGUUUUAUCUUGGAAACAGAGGUCCCUUGUUCGUGUGACUAUUGACACACUUUUUUAGGUUCAUCAGAAAAUACAAGUAACUAUCAAAAAAUUAAUAAACAUAAAAAAUUAUAAAUUUUGUUGAAAAAGUAUUGUCAACAUUUUUCAACAUAAAAGUUAAGUCUUUCUUGCUACAGUAGAGUUACGUGUAUGCGCAUUUUAUGUUCUUUGGCAUGCAGAGAGCCCUGAGGUUCUCAAUUUUUUCUCGUCGUUUCAUGGUGUCUGUCCCCUAGGCAAAAAGAAAUGCUUAAUAGGUUAUUUUUAUUAAAUAAUUACUUCCAAACAAUUAGUAUUUAUACCAGUACACACUGAAAAAAACUAAAUUUUAUUCAUAAAUUUAAAUUUUAAUUCACAUCAUUUAUUAAUGGGAUCCCUAAUUUUCUUGGGCACCAAUCAGAUUUGGCAAACAUUAGGAUGCAUUUUCAUACUAAUGAUAUUAAUAGAAAGUACAGGCAGAAACGUAUACUUGACUGUUAGAAUUUAUUUCUGUCCUUACUGGUUAAGGUCCAUAUUUUUUCCCUAGCAUGACCUUUGCAAACAUGUAAGUAGAGAGCUUUUUUAUGUUAGUUUUAUUAAUUUUUGCCAGCUUUUUUUCCCUUUGAUUGAAAUCUCACAAUUUAGUAAAUAGAGACCUUUAAGAGGAAAGUACAACAGUGAUAUGUAUUAUCUGUUGUUCGUGUAGGGUGCCUUGCACUGAGCCAGGUACAUUUAUAUAUACCAUUUUUAUAUUUAUUUUUAAUUGGAUACUGUUUUUGAUGCUUUCACAAAUUUUGAAUUAAAAUUUUGAAAAGUAUUAUCCCUGAAACUUAAAACAAGAAGGAAUUCUGAAAUUAUUAGAUCUUUGGUGAAAGGGAAACGUGGCCAACCCUACUUCUAAACCUCCCUGUAGCUCCACUAUGUUUCCAACCUGGGUAUCCCUCACUAAGUGAUUUAAAGGCAGUCAGGGAAAUAAAACAUUGAUGUUUUCUAUGAAACUAGCAGUUGUGAGUUGAUACAGAUAGUGACCUUAUGGUUGACUUGUUAAAGCAAGGCUGAUGGCACUACAGUUACAUGUAUUCCUUAUGAUGAUUAUAAGUGAAAAUGUUUCCAUUUGUCUUACACAGUAAUGUUUCUUUGCAAAAUGCUGUCCUAAUCUUGAAGUCAGCCAAUGUUACUAA